rnacentral:misc_RNA from 1 species
AAGUCGUAACAAGGUCUCCGUUGGUGAACCAGCGGAGGGAUCAUUACAGAGUUAUCUAACUCCCAAACCCAUGUGAACUUACCAAUGUUGCCUCGGCAGAACCUACCCGGUACCUACCCUGGAACGGCUACCCUGUAGCUACCCUGGAAAGGCUACCCUGUAACGCUCUGCCGGCGGACUACUAAAUUCUUGUUAUUUUAUUGUAAUCUGAGCGUCUUAUAUUAAUAAGUCAGAA